rnacentral:tRNA from 1 species
UCCUCAGUAGCUCAGUUGGCAGAGCGGGUGGCUGUUAACCACUAGGUCGGCGGUUCAAGUCCGUCCUGAGGAG